GAGCGGCAAAGCUCAAUUUGAAUCUAGCACCUUCGGUGUUCGAGUUGUAAUUUGAAGAUGGUAACCUUGGGUUUGGCUCUUGUCUAUGUUCCUUGGAACAGGACGUCAUAGAGGGUGAGAAUCCCGUCUGAUGAGAUGCCCAUUCCUAUGUAAGGUGCUAUCGAAGAGUCGAGUGGUUUGG
rnacentral:rRNA from 1 species